GCAGUGUCCGGCUUUCGGCUGUCGCAGAUGCACCUCCCCCGACUUCACACGCCAGCUUUCGUCUACAGUCGGCUCCGUUAGGCUCACUGCUCAAACACACCGAAUGUCACUGGCAAGCAGCACUGCAGACGUCAGCCCAGUGGAAGUCAUUCAAGACAACAUUUGGUAAGGAUGGAUUGAACGGUUUCUCAAGAGGCCCGUAAAGCAUGUCAUCAGAGAGCACCCAACACUUUAUUUCCCACAGUUAAGGGCAGUGCUGUAUGUAUCCUGUAUUCAGACAUGAAGAUGAAAAAUGGGUUCCUGUCUUUCAUAGCCCUUAUGCUGGCACCAUCUGAGGCCCUCGACAUAAGAAGACUGGAGGCCAUUGUUGUUACGAGGUGGAGAAAUGUGGCUGCAACAGAAAAGAGGAUUUGAAGAUAGUUAAAUCAAAGCUGAAUGAAGACAAGGCCUCAAAGGGA